rnacentral:lncRNA from 1 species
CAUCGAACCAUAAGAAUUUCAGCUCAUCAAUAAGAAGCCUUAGAUAUAAAUCAAUGCUUCUAUCAGGAUAUCAUAGUCUAGGAAUGACUAAUAUAAGAAAGAUGUUAUGUUCUUUCAUACACAUCCCAGAUGGAAGAUUGUAUGGAGUAAUAAAUACUGGCCAACAUGAAUAAAGGGUUGCUGCAUAACUGAACGGUGUAAAGCUAUCCAUAGAUAGACCC